rnacentral:rRNA from 1 species
UUUCCUACGGGAGGCAGCAGUGGGGAAUAUUGCACAAUGGGGGAAACCCUGAUGCAGCAACGCCGCGUGAGUGAAGAAGUAUUUCGGUAUGUAAAGCUCUAUCAGCAGGGAAGAAAAUGACGGUACCUGACUAAGAAGCCCCGGCUAAAUACGUGCCAGCAGCCGCGGUAAUACGUAUGGGGCAAGCGUUAUCCGGAUUUACUGGGUGUAAAGGGAGCGCAGGCGGCCUGCCAAGUCUGGUGUGAAAACCCGGGGCCCAACCCCGGGCCUGCAUUGGAAACUGGCGGGCUGG